AUGCCGUCACUUAGAUCCAUGUUUGCGAAAUGUGUUAACUUUUUCACCGCACACUCAAAAAAGACCACAAACAAGAAACAGAAUGCAAAUGGAAAAUCCAAAAUCAAAUUCUGUAAAACAGCAGCUCCACCUGUUUCUACUCGAAGUGAAUUAAUUAGAGCUCUGCUGGAUAAGCUGGACAUGCAAGAAAAACUUAUUAUUCUGUUACAAAAGUCUCUUUCACAGACAGAUACCAGAACAGUUUCAACCCAAACGUUUUCAAAAGAAGUCUCAACUCAAACGGACUCCAGUUUCUUUGAAAAAGCCGUGUCUAAGCCAACUUUAGCUGCUUGUGUACAGCCAGAUGCCACGAAGCAGAAAACCGUGAUCUUCAAACAAAACCAACAGCCUCCUAGAGUAAGUAUUCCUAGGAAAGAGACAGGUCUGCCAAAACCCAGAAAAUCUGUAUGUAGCAAUUUCUCAACAAAAUCUGUCGGCGGUUUCAGUAAUUUUGCCCAACCAUCAGGAGAAAUAUUUAAAAAACACUUCUGCUAUUUCUCAAACUUGUUUAAUAACUGCUGGAUGAAUUCUACAGUCCAGUCGAUUAUAAACCUUAAAUCUGUCAGAAACACUUUAAAAACCCGCGCCAGACUUCCACAAACACCGUUUUCGAAUGUAUUCCUCAAAGCUGUGAAAAACCCGGGAAAGUCUUUCUCCCCAAGUGAAAUACAUCCAGUUCUGAAGAAGUUAAGCCAGAAAAUCCCAUCGUUACGCCUGGGACAGCAGAACGACAUCGUGGAUUUUUUCGAACCGGUCAUGGACUGGCUAGAAGAAUGUGGGAUCCAGUCACGUCUGGAGGUGACUAAUGUGAGCCAGUGUAGCGACUGUGGGUGGGAUUCAAUCGACCACUCCACCAAGAGCAGCAUUUGUUUCCUAUCACUGCCAGAAGUAAACGACUCCACCACGUCUCUCCUGCACCAUAUGUCUUUAGAUGGACAGGACGCAAAAUGGUGCAGAGACUGUGGAGGUGAAACAACAGACCGUGUGUACUUUAAUUCCCCAGACGUGAUUGCUUUAUAUCUGCCCAGAAACCCAGGAGACAACGUAUCAGUUCGUCUGGAUGCAACCCUCAACAUUCCCCAGGAAAGUGGGACAGAGACAUACACCCUGUCUUCUGUCAUUUGUCACAAGGUCUUGACUUCAUCUUUGGAACACUUUUACACAUUUGUGAUUUAUGAGAACAAGACCAUAAAGGUCGAUGAUUCCUGCAUUUCAGUUGCAACAAAAUACGACAGAGCUGACCUGUCUGAAAAUGGGAUCAUCUAUGUUUAUGAAAGGCAUGCGCCUCAGUAG
rnacentral:lncRNA from 1 species